GGGUUGUGAGGUUAAGCGACUAAGCGUACACGGUGGAUGCCCUGGCAGUCAGAGGCGAUGAAGGACGUGCUAAUCUGCGAAAAGCGUCGGUAAGGUGAUAUGAACCGUUACAGCCGGCGAUGUCCGAAUGGGGAAACCCAGUGCAAUUCGUUGCACUAUCGUUAACUGAAUACAUAGGUUAACGAGGCGAACCGGGGGAACUGAAACAUCUAAGUACCCCGAGGAAAAGAAAUCAACCGAGAUUCCCCCAGUAGCGGCGAGCGAACGGGGAGCAGCCCAGAGUCUGAAUCAGCUUGUGUGUUAGUGGAACGGUCUGGAAAGUCCGACGGUACAGGGUGAUAGUCCCGUACACCAAAAUGCACAGGCUGUGAACUCGAAGAGUAGGGCGGGACACGUGGUAUCCUGUCUGAAUAUGGGGGGACCAUCCUCCAAGGCUAAAUACUCCUGACUGACCGAUAGUGAACCAGUACCGUGAGGGAAAGGCGAAAAGAACCCCGGCGAGGGGAGUGAAAAAGAACCUGAAACCGUGUACGUACAAGCAGUGGGAGCACCUUUAUGGUGUGACUGCGUACCUUUUGUAUAAUGGGUCAGCGACUUAUAUUCUGUAGCAAGGUUAACCGUAUAGGGGAGCCGCAGGGAAACCGAGUCUUAACUGGGCGUUAAGUUGCAGGGUAUAGACCCGAAACCCGGUGAUCUAGCCAUGGGCAGGUUGAAGGUUGGGUAACACUAACUGGAGGACCGAACCGACUAAUGUUGAAAAAUUAGCGGAUGACUUGUGGCUGGGGGUGAAAGGCCAAUCAAACCGGGAGAUAGCUGGUUCUCCCCGAAAGCUAUUUAGGUAGCGCCUCGUGAAUUCAUCUUCGGGGGUAGAGCACUGUUUCGGCUAGGGGGUCAUCCCGACUUACCAACCCGAUGCAAACUACGAAUACCGAAGAAUGUUAUCACGGGAGACACGGCGGGUGCUAACGUCCGUCGUGAAGAGGAAACAACCCAGACCGCCAGCUAAGGUCCCAAAGUCAUGGUUAAGUGGGAAACGAUGUGGGAAGGCACAGACAGCCAGGAUGUUGGCUUAGAAGCAGCCAUCAUUUAAAGAAAGCGUAAUAGCUCACUGGUCGAGUCGGCCUGCGCGGAAGAUGUAACGGGGCUAAACCAUGCACCGAAGCUGCGGCAGCGACGCUUAUGCGUUGUUGGGUAGGGGAGCGUUCUGUAAGCCUGCGAAGGUGACCUGUGAGGGCUGCUGGAGGUAUCAGAAGUGCGAAUGCUGACAUAAGUAACGAUAAAGCGGGUGAAAAGCCCGCUCGCCGGAAGACCAAGGGUUCCUGUCCAACGUUAAUCGGGGCAGGGUGAGUCGACCCCUAAGGCGAGGCCGAAAGGCGUAGUCGAUGGGAAACAGGUUAAUAUUCCUGUACUUGGUGUUACUGCGAAGGGGGGACGGAGAAGGCUAUGUUAGCCGGGCGACGGUUGUCCCGGUUUAAGCAUGUAGGCGGAGGUUCCAGGUAAAUCCGGUACCUUUUAACGCUGAGGUGUGAUGACGAGGCACUACGGUGCUGAAGUAACAAAUGCCCUGCUUCCAGGAAAAGCCUCUAAGCAUCAGGUAACAUUAAAUCGUACCCCAAACCGACACAGGUGGUCAGGUAGAGAAUACCAAGGCGCUUGAGAGAACUCGGGUGAAGGAACUAGGCAAAAUGGUGCCGUAACUUCGGGAGAAGGCACGCUGGUGUGUAGGUGAAGUCCCUGCGGACGGAGCUGAGACCAGUCGAAGAUACCAGCUGGCUGCAACUGUUUAUUAAAAACACAGCACUGUGCAAACACGAAAGUGGACGUAUACGGUGUGACGCCUGCCCGGUGCCGGAAGGUUAAUUGAUGGGGUUAUCCGUAAGGAGAAGCUCUUGAUCGAAGCCCCGGUAAACGGCGGCCGUAACUAUAACGGUCCUAAGGUAGCGAAAUUCCUUGUCGGGUAAGUUCCGACCUGCACGAAUGGCGUAAUGAUGGCCAGGCUGUCUCCACCCGAGACUCAGUGAAAUUGAACUCGCUGUGAAGAUGCAGUGUACCCGCGGCAAGACGGAAAGACCCCGUGAACCUUUACUAUAGCUUGACACUGAACAUUGAGCCUUGAUGUGUAGGAUAGGUGGGAGGCUUUGAAGCGUGGACGCCAGUCUGCGUGGAGCCAACCUUGACCACCCUUUAAUGUUUGAUGUUCGUAGGCCCCUAAUCGGGGUUGCGGACAGUGUCUGGUGGGUAGUUUGACUGGGGCGGUCUCCUCCCAAAGAGUAACGGAGGAGCACGAAGGUUAGCUAAUCUGGUCGGACAUCAGGAGGUUAGUGCAAUGGCAUAAGCUAGACUGCGAGCGUGACGGCGCGAGCAGGUGCGAAAGCAGGUCAUAGUGAUCCGGUGGUUCUGAAUGGAAGGGCCAUCGCUCAACGGAUAAAAGGUACUCCGGGAUAACAGGCUGAUACCGCCCAAGAGUUCAUAUCGACGGCGGUGUUUGGCACCUCGAUGUCGGCUCAUCACAUCCGGGCUGAAGUAGGUCCCAAGGGUAUGGCUGUUCGCCAUUUAAAGUGGUACGCGAGCUGGGUUUAGAACGUCGUGAGACAGUUCGGUCCCUAUCUGCCGUGGGCGCUGGAGAAUUGAGGGGGGCUGCUCCUAGUACGAGAGGACCGGAGUGGACGCAUCACUGGUGUUCGGGUUGUCAUGCCAAUGGCACUGCCCGGUAGCUAAAUGCGGAAGAGAUAAGUGCUGAAAGCAUCUAAGCACGAAACUUGCCCCGAGAUGAGUUCUCCUGAGACUUUAAGUCUCCUGAAGGAACGUUGAAGACGACGACGUUGAUAGGCCGGGUGUGUAAGCGCAUGAUGCGUUGAGCUAACCGGUACUAAUGAACCGUGAGCUUAACACAACGCCGAAGCUGUU
rnacentral:rRNA from 1 species